AAUCAACGCUGGCGGCGUGCCUCAGACAUGCAAGUCGAACGCGAAAGUUCCCUUCGGGGGAUGAGUAGAGUGGCGCACGGGUGAGUAACACGUAGGUAAUCUACCUUCGGAUGGGGAAUAACAACCGGAAACGGUUGCUAAUACCGCAUAAUGCAGCGGCACCUAAAUGGUGACAGUUGUUAAAGCGGGGGAUCGAAAGACCUCGCGUCUGAAGAGGAGCCUGCGGCGGAUUAGCUAGUUGGUAGGGUAACGGCCUACCAAGGCUACGAUCCGUAGCCGGCCUGAGAGGGCGGUCGGCCACACUGACACUGACAUACGGGUCAGACUCCUACGGGAGGCAGCAGUCGGGAAUUUUGGGCAAUGGGCGAAAGCCUGACCCAGCAACGCCGCGUGAA
rnacentral:rRNA from 1 species